UACAGGGACUGCAAGCGUUAUUCGGAUUCACUGGGCGUAAAGGGUGCGCAGGCGGCCAAGUGUGUGAGGCGUGAAAGCCCGGGGCUUAACCCCGGAAUUGCACCUCAAACUACAUGGCUAGAGCAUUGGAGAGGGUAGCAGAAUUCAUGGUGUAGCAGUGAAAUGCGUAGAUAUCAUGAGGAAUACCAGAGGCGAAGGCGGCUACCUGGACAAUUGCUGACGCUCAGGCACGAAAGCGUGGGGAGCAAAAGGG
rnacentral:rRNA from 1 species